rnacentral:rRNA from 1 species
GGUAAAAGCCGGAGGAAGGUGAGGAUGAUGUCAAGUCAGCAUGACCUUUAUAUCCAGGGCUACACACACGCUACAAUGGUCUGUACAAUGGGUAGCCAAGCCGCGAGGCGGAGCCAAUCCUGAAAGCAGGCCUCAGUUCAGAUUGCAGUCUGCAACUCGACUGCAUGAAGCCGGAGUUGCUAGUAACCGCAGGUCAGCAAUACUGCGGUGAAUACGUUCCCGGGUCUU